AUUGAACGCUGGCGGCAUGCCUUACACAUGCAAGUCGAGCGGCAGCACGGGUGCUUGCCCCUGGUGGCGAGUGGCGAACGGGUGAGUAAUACAUCGGAACAUGUCCUGUAGUGGGGGAUAGCCCGGCGAAAGCCGGAUUAAUACCGCAUACGAUCUACGGAUGAAAGCGGGGGACCUUCGGGCCUCGCGCUAUAGGGUUGGCCGAUAGCUGAUUAGCUAGUUGGUGGGGUAAAGGCCUACCAAGGCGACGAUCAGUAGCUGGUCUGAGAGGACGACCAGCCACACUGGGACUGAGACACGGCCCAGACUCCUACGGGAGGCAGCAGUGGGGAAUUUUGGACAAUGGGCGAAAGCCUGAUCCAGCAAUGCCGCGUGUGUGAAGAAGGCCUUCGGGUUGUAAAGCACUUUUGUCCGGAAAGAAAUCCUUGGCUCUAAUACAGUCGGGGGAUGACGGUACCGGAAGAAUAAGCACCGGCUAACUACGUG
rnacentral:rRNA from 1 species